rnacentral:rRNA from 1 species
UGGGGAAUAUUGGACAAUGGGGGGAACCCUGAUCCAGCGACGCCGCGUGAGUGAAGAAGUAUCUCGGUAUGUAAAGCUCUAUCAGCAGGGAAGAAAGAAAUGACGGUACCUGACCAAGAAGCCCCGGCUAACUACGUGCCAGCAGCCGCGGUAAUACGUAGGGGGCAAGCGUUAUCCGGAUUUACUGGGUGUAAAGGGAGCGUAGACGGUAAUGCAAGUCUGGAGUGAAAUGCAGGGGCUCAACCCCUGAACUGCUUUGGAAACUGUAUGACUGGAGUGCAGGAGAGGUAAGUGGAAUUCCUA